rnacentral:rRNA from 1 species
AGAACGAACGCUGGCGGCAUGCCUAAUACAUGCAAGUCGAACGAACUCUUCGGAGUUAGUGGCGCACGGGUGCGUAACGCGUGGGAAUCUGCCCCUUGGUUCGGAAUAACAGUUGGAAACGACUGCUAAUACCGGAUGAUGACGAAAGUCCAAAGAUUUAUCGCCAAGGGGAUGAGCCCGCGUAGGAUUAGCUAGUUGGUGAGGUAAAGGCUCACCAAGGCAACGAUCCUUAGCUGGUCUGAGAGGAUGAUCAGCCACACUGGGACUGAGACACGGCCCAGACUCCUACGGGAGGCAGCAGUAGGGAAUAUUGGACAAUGGGCGAAAGCCUAGAUCCAGCAAUGCCGCGUGAGUGAUGAAGGCGUUAGGUGUAAGCUCUUUACCCGAGAUGAUAAUGACUAGUAUACGGAGAAGUAACGCCCGGACUAACCUCCCGCGACC